UGGGCCAUCUUUGGAAAAUUUCAUAGUGAUUCGUUCAUUCAAUUUUAACUUUCAGUGGUGCAAUGAUGUGCGACUUGUCUUAUAUUCAACCUAAAAGAAAUAAAAUCUUCACAGGAUGACCUGAAAACAAACUUGAAUAGAAUUAUCCAAGAAGUGGAUUUUUCUGAGAUGCAUGUUGACGUAAAAAAGUUGUGGAUCAGACUAGACGUUCGCAAAAAGAUGCACUGAUCUAACCACGUGGCUGCAUUCAAAGAUGGCGUAAACGAUGUGUUAAGACAGAUGACAACGAGGACAGCAUUCCCAUGGCAGUCAGUUCCAAGUUACCGGAAUGACUCGGGUUUUUCCCGCCCCAGUAAACUAGCCCUGU